CUCUUUCAUUUCCUUUUGGCAAGUCUCGGAGCGUGGUUGUAAUGGCGGUAGUUUGGUGCUGCUAGAUUGAACUUUAUCUGAUUUCAACAGCAACAUCUUUGGGCGGUGCUGUAAUACAGCCUGAGCAGCUGGCUCCACAGGUGGAGGGAAUAUGGUGAAUCUGUCAUGCUACAGGCUGGUCAGCUUGAUGUUCCGUGUGUGAAGGAUAAUGCAUUGAUGGGUGACAGGCAACGUGGAUUUAGGAAGGGAUGCUCAUGUGGGCUUCAGAUGGCUGAAAUAGGUGACUAGAAAGCGAUGGCUUCGGUUAAACAGGUGCAAUAUUUGUAAUUUCCUAUGAGGCUUUUGGCAAGACUGGAGAAGGUUUGGUGGUUAAUUAGUCAAUCCCGGGGGGGGGGGAGAACUGGUUUGUUGACUUCCUUAGGAAACUACCAAGUUGGUUAGAAGGGACAGGAGGCAGAGAAAAGUACCUGGAGGUGACCUGGGAUAGAGGUGGGUUGCAGAGUAUCAAUCUGCUACUUUGUUACUGAUACACUGCACACCUGUAUCAAGUAGUGCAAACGAGUACACUAUUCACGUAGUUCAGUAUCAGUUUAGAAUUUGCCUAGAACACCACAGCCAAUGUGCGCAGAAGACUCACUUGGGCGGAGCUUGUGAACGGGGAGGGAGUGCACGACGAAUAAGGGUUGAAGGAAAAGAAUUUAGGGAAGGAAGCGCAGGGGAAGGCGUUGAAGGAAAGGUGCAGAGCGAAAUUAAGUCAUUUUGUUUAUUGUCCCAUGUCAAAGUACGCUCAGUGCACACUGCGUGCUUCUUGCGAAGACUGAAGACUAGCUAGUACGUUAAUAGCAAUACAAGACCAAGGACAUUGGUUGUAGAUCCAUCAUCCUUAGGUGAUAGGUAUGUGGAUCUACUAUCGAAGGGGCAAAGCUAAAACACUGUCUCGUUCAAUAAUAAAACUAAUGAAAUUUUAAUAUUAAAAGGUAUAUUAAUAAAAUAUAUAAUAUUUAUAUUUGUGCACCUAACUGCUAUGAAUAUGCAAAUAAAUUCUCAAUUGACCCUAGUAAACAGAUGUAAUCAACAUAUGGACUUUAUUAUUUCAAACAAAUUAGUAAUUAGUGUUUUCAUACAUUAAAAGAUUAUGGUUUUAACAAAAAAUAAAAAUUAAAAAACAUAGGUACAUUAGUGAGCAUACUGACUAUCAAUAGAAAUUUGAGUUACAUCAGGCGGGUAGCAGUGCCAAUGUCGAUAAAAAAACACACUUUGCAAGUUCAGUAACUAUUUAACAAAUAAGUAUUGCAUUAUUUUCUUAACUUACAUGUUUGAUGUUAGGGAACAUCGGUCAGACACAAUAAGUCAAGUUCAGUCACUAUUUACAAUAUUUCUUAUUGGCAUUUAGAAAAACAAGUUUCUUGAUUUUCUCGCUUACUGUUCGGGAACGUCGAUCAGACACAAUAAUUCCAGUUUUUGAGAACAAUCGUUCACAAGGAACAGAGGUAGCAACUGUAGCAAACUUCUCUAGGACUACUCUCUUGAAAUGUGGGUAGUUGUAAGAGUGUCGAUCAUCACUCCUACUUCUGGACAGUGAUAGUGAUGUUAAAACUAUCUUGAUUCUGAUCAGGUAACUGUACAGUUGGAUGUUUACGUUUCAAAUGUUUCUUCAGAUUAGUCGAUGAUUUAUAACUCAGUUUUUGUUUACACAGAUUACACUUAGCAAACUCAUUAUUUUCCGUGAAAAAAUUCCACACAAAUUAAGUCUUUUUCCUGCACUUAUCCAUGCCUAAAGAUACUAACUACAAAGCAUGACAGCCCGCAACAAUGAACGUGGUAGGUAAUACACGGCCAGGACGAACUGCAGUGAAUGUUGUACUGAUUGAUACUGGCUGUAUUAGGCGGGCAUACGAGUUGGAACAGAUACCAAAAAUUGCUGCAACAACCCACCUCUAACCUGGGAUGUGGGAAACAGGUCCAGAGUGUGGUAUAAAGGGGAGGACAAUAGGGUUGCUUUGGGGGAGGUUCUAAGGGAGUGGGAAGAAGGGUGAAGGCAAAGGUGUACUCCGCGUGUUUCUAGAGGGGAAAUGGGGUUAAGGACAUUUGGGUGGUAGGUUAUACAGGCUGAGUGGAGGUGAACAUAGAGGGAAGCACUCAUACCUGGUAAGGACAGGUUAGUGGUGGAAUGGGCCUGAGGGGGAAAGUGUUGAGUUAUUUGCCUAGGACUUGUAGGAAACUCCCUGGAGGGGGCAGUAAUUAUUACCAUUGGACGAAAGCUGGAUUGCAGAUGUACGGUUGAAUUCAAAAGUGAAGAUAAUUUUUCAUGGACUGAACAACUGACUCAAAACCACGUGGGCCCAUGGUGGUGAGGGUAUGCAUCAGGUCGUAGAUCGCUUCAGGGCUCAACUAGGUGAUGAGGGUAUGGGUCGGGUCAUCAGUUGAUUCUGGACUGGACCAGCUAGCUGUCCAGGUUGAGAUGACACUCCUGACAAUCAUCUGUUCAAGACUAGAUAGUGUUGCUGGUCGUCUUUAGAAAAAAAUUUGUAUGUUUUUUACUUUCAAAUAUAUGUUUACUGAAAA